GCCUACACGAAGCUGGAGUUGCUAGUAAUCGCGAAUCAGCAUGUCGCGGUGAAUAACGUUCCCGGGCCUUGUACACACCGCCCGUCACACCAUGAGAGUUGGCAAUACCCAACGUACGUGAUCUAACCCGCAAGGGAGGAAGCGUCCUAAGGUAGGGUCAGCGAUUGGGGUGAAGUCGUAACAAGGUAGC
rnacentral:rRNA from 1 species